rnacentral:rRNA from 1 species
CCUACGUGGGGCAGCAGUGAGGAAUAUUGGUCAAUGGGCGCGAGCCUGAACCAGCCAAGUAGCGUGAAGGAUGACUGCCCUACGGGUUGUAAACUUCUUUUAUAAAGGAAUAAAGUGAGGCAAGUGUGCCUUUUUGUAUGUACUUUAUGAAUAAGGAUCGGCUAACUCCGUGCCAGCAGCCGCGGUAAUACGGAGGAUCCGAGCGUUAUCCGGAUUUAUUGGGUUUAAAGGGAGCGUAGAUGGGUUGUUAAGUCAGUUGUGAAAGUUUGCGGCUCAACCGUAAAAGUGCAAUUGAUACUGGCAGACUUGAGUACAGUUGAGGUAGGCGGAAUUCGUGGUGUAGCGGUGAAAUGCUUAGAUAUAUCGAAGAACUCCGAUUGCGAAGGCAGCCUACUAAUCUGCCACUGACAUUGAUGCUCGAAAGUGUGGGUAUCAAACAGGAUUAGAUACCCUUGUAGUC